AGUGAACGCUGGCGGCAUGCCUAAUACAUGCAAGUCGAACGACCGCACAAUAAGCUUUUUCUCCUACCGUUGGCGGGUGGCGGACGGGUAAGGCAUACAUCGCCUUCUUCUAUUUCUUGGGUGAUUUCGUAAAGCCACUUCUGCUACUACCUCAUAUGUUCUACCGCUUAAUGCAAUAGUUCUUCGCACUUUUCCUGUUUCUUUUAGCUGGUGUCGCAUUAGCUAGUUGGCAUGGUAAAGGCCCACCAAGGCGACGAUCCGUAGCUGAUCUGAGAGGAUGAUCGGCCACACUGGAACUGAGACACGGUCCAGACUCCUACGGGAGGCAGCAGUGGGGAAUAUUGGACAAUGGGCGAAAGCCUGACGGAGCCACACCGCGUGGGUGAUGAAGGCCUUCGGGUUGUAAAGCCCUGUUGUUGGGAAAGAAAAGAAGCAGAAUAAAACACGGAUGUUCUGACGGUACCCAAAGAGUAAGCAACGGCUAACUUCGUG
rnacentral:rRNA from 1 species